rnacentral:sRNA from 1 species
ACUAUCUAUCUAGCAAUUUCUUGUCUUCGAAUCCUCUCCUCUUCCGCGUUCAUGAUUUGUUUACUAGUGCUAGAACUAUCUAUGAGUGCACUAGCUGUCCCGCCUCAUUCGUUGCUUACGCUCUUUGAUAGAAAACUUCCGGUUACACGAUCAUGACUCGGCUCUACUCUCAGAGAAGUCCGGCUGUUUUCAGCUUCUUCAGCUUCUUCAGCUUCUUCAGCUUCUUCAGCAGCCGUGGAACGUAUUUUCUUUGAUCUCGAGCCUGCCGAGGGCCGGGGAGGGUGAAGGAUAUAUGACCUGGAUCAAUGCUGAUCAUACACUUUGCGCAGUCGUGACCCACGCACAAAAGAAGAAGAAUGACCAAGGGGUUUCUGCAAGCCACCCGCACCCCGGUUGUAUCGUGUUAUUAAUUGUGCAGAGACCGAAGGACUUCUGGCAAGACGAACGACUGACAAAAGCGGACAAGGGUAUUUGAACUAGGAACCCCUGGUGGCACAUUAUUUCCCAUCAUACCCACCAGUAUGUCUUGGAGUUUACAAGAUCGACAACAGUACUCCGUAAAUAUUGGUUCAUCGGAGGAAGUUUAACGACGAUGUGCAGUACCUGGACGAGGCAGAUAUAACCGCUCUUGGAAUAAAAAUACAAUUUGUUCAACGAUGCCCACAUUCUUGUCAAUGUAACGUGGAUGCCUUUCUGCGCUUGGCCCUAAAAUCCACUGCUGAUGAAGAUAAACCCCCGAUGCCUAAGACAAGUUAAGCUCCCCAUCGCGACAAGGAUUGAGUACGGAAACUUUGGCUGCCAAACGACCAUAAACCGAACGGGUGAUUGGAAUUCCGCCGCCCCUUUCUACAAAAAUUGCAGUUACAGUAGCACGUAGGAUGUAACCCAACGGAAACCGCUUGUUUUGUGAAGAUUAGAGCGAAAUCUUCAAAUAGCCUCAACAUGUAUGAAUAGUUUAUGUGGAACAGUUGUAAGCAUUAUAAAUUUGAUUAUUUCUAACAAGCUACCUUCCUGAUGCGCUGGCAUCUUGGGGAUAAGCUAGGUUUUGAGAGGGCGACAUAAAGAAAAAUAUGGUGGUGGUGACAGGAAAUAGAGAGGUGUUUUUGAAGCGCAGAAGACAGAGCGACAAGAAAUCAAGUGCGAAUUGUAGUGUUUGUACUUGUGCCCUUGUCAAUGCACAACAGGCCACUGGAAGAUGAAUAAAAAACUAUUUGGAUCUCACAUGUCUAAGCAAAAGCACCGUGAACAAGGGGGUCUGUGGAAAGAGGUUUUGAAAUUAUUUACGCAUCGGGGCGAUGUUGGACAAAUGGUAUCCUUGAUUUGAUUAUUGAUGACCAUGAAAAUGCUGACUUUCCUGCAGAUGAAAACGCCUGUAUGGAACAGAACAAACGGAAAUAAGUUGUGAAAGGAAAUAGCGCACUUUGGAAGUGCGGGUAUGUAAAAUGCGAAAAUUGGCGGUCGCGAGAUUCAUGCCAGGAAAGAGAAAUAUAUACUAAAAGAAAAAAGAAAAGAAAGACAAUAGUGGUGAAUAAUCAGUUAUUCUUUGCGUGGCUGCGGAGGGGACAUAGGUGAGUCAAGUUCAAAUACCGGAGUAGGGCGUCCUUCGCUUUGCGACUCAAGCUCAUACCGGGAUGGUACUUCUGUUUGAGCUGACAGUUCUCUGGGGCGUUGUUCGACGCGCAUGUAUGGGCUAUCCUUCUUGUCAGUAAGGACUGGCUGAGACGAGUCUGGCUCGGGAUAGUAAACCGAAGGAGCUGUCGGAACAGCUGGGGAGGCAUUGAAUCGAUCGCCCGUAUUCUUCUUCCGUUUGCUUCUUCUAAGAAAGAAAAUAGCCCCGGCGAUGACGGCGACUCCUCCAACGCCACCAACAACUCCACCGGCAAUUGCGCCUGCAUUAGAGGACUUCUUGGAUGAAGGGGGAGUUAUCGGUUGAGAAGUUCCGCUUUACCGGUUCCACUGUGUUCGGUAAAGUGGUUAGUCUGGAGAAGAAGGAUGAGGUAUGCAAAUCAGGAAGAAAGAAGCAACGUACUCGCCGCCAACCACAUCAGAGACCACCCGAGGAACAGAGUAUGUUGUUUCGCGUUCGAAUUGCUUUUCCCAUCGAAAGUUGCUGGUAUCAAGCACUCGGAUUGGUGGAUAAUUUCUACUGCAUCCCUUUUGUACUUUGUCAUCUUUCCGAGUGGUACCCCCAAUUACUACCAUCUCUCCGUCUUUCCAGGUGACACAUUUAUGGCUGUCGCGACCAACGCCAUCUGCUUUCCACGGUUCUAGGCCAGUCGUCGGUGCACGUAUCCAACGAAAGGAUGGGAGAGUCAGGACAUAAAGAUCAUUAUAUGAGGUUGCAUUCUCUAUGGUACGGCUGCGACCGCCGUACAUGUGCACUUGAAACGAAGAAUCGUCU